rnacentral:rRNA from 1 species
GUAGGGAAUAUUGGGCAAUGGAGGCAACUCUGACCCAGCCAUGCCGCGUGCAGGAAGACGGUCCUCUGGAUUGUAAACUGCUUUUGAAUGGGAAGAACAUACGGUUUGCGAACCGUACUGACGGUACUAUUAGAAUAAGCACCGGCUAACUCCGUGCCAGCAGCCGCGGUAAUACGGAGGGUGCAAGCGUUAUCCGGAUUUAUUGGGUUUAAAGGGUGCGUAGGCGGCCUUAUAAGUCGGUGGUUAAAGGUAGCAGCUUAACUGUUUUACAUGCCAUCGAUACUGUAGGGCUUGAGUGAUUUGGAGGUAGCUAGAAUUCCCUGUGUAGCGGUGAAAUGCAUAGAUACGGGGAGGACUACCGAUUGCGAAGGCAUGUUACUACGAAUUAACUGACGCUGAGGCACGAAAGCGUGGGGAUCAAACAGGAUUAGAAACCCGAGUAGUCC